GUUUACUUGAAAAAAUAAGUAAUUUGACCUGCCCACUGAUGUUUUAAAGGGCCGCGGUAUCUGAACCGUGCUAAGGUAGCAUAAUCAAUAGUCUUUUAAUUGAAGUCUAGAAUGAAUGGUUUGACGAGAAAUUAACUGUUUCAAGCGUAUAAUUGAAUUUUACUUUUGAGUGAAAAGGCUCAAAUAAAGUAGUGGGACGAUAAGACCCUAUGAAGCUUAUACAUAGUUUGGUUGAUAAACUCUAAUAUAAAAGUGAUUGGGUUUCAUACGAAUCUUUGUUUUGCUGGGGCGGCAGGGAUAGAUAAUUAACUGUCCAUUAAUUAAAAAUAAUUUUGCUU
rnacentral:rRNA from 1 species